CUUUCUCCGACUUUCUAGGACGUGUUUUAUGCCACUUCUUUUUCUGUCUCAUUCUGUCCACCAAACUUUUAACGUUGUGCGUGAAUGCACAAAGUGUCUAGGUGCGUGUUCCUUUAAGAAGGCUGACCUGCCGUGGAUCUCCACUCGGAGAUGUGUAUUCCUUUAAGAAGGCCGACCUGCCGUACAGCCCCCCGGAUAGAAAGGUCAAAAAAGGCCCCCAGGAUGACUGGCAGGUGAGCUGGGAAAGAAAAAGCAACAUUAAAACUAAAAAGGAC